rnacentral:rRNA from 1 species
GAUGAACGCUAGCGGCAGGCCUAAUACAUGCAAGUCGAGGGGUAUGGGUUGCUUGCCACCCAGAGACCGGCGCACGGGUGCGUAACGCGUAUGCAAUCUACCUUAAUCAGGGGGAUAGCCCGGAGAAAUCCGGAUUAACACCGCAUAACAUUGAGUUGUGGCAUCACAGUUCAAUCAAAUAUUUAUAGGAUUAAGAUGAGCAUGCGUGACAUUAGUUAGUUGGUGAGGUAACGGCUCACCAAGACCACGAUGUCUAGGGGAUCUGAGAGGAUGACCCCCCACACUGGUACUGAGACACGGACCAGACUCCUACGGGAGGCAGCAGUAAGGAAUAUUGGGCAAUGGGCGCAAGCCUGAACCAGCCAUGCCGCGUGCAGGAAGACGGCCCUAUGGGUUGUAAACUGCUUUUGUACCGGAAUAAACCUUCUCUUGCGAGAGAAGCUGAACGUACGGUAAGAAUAAGGAUCGGCUAACUCCGUG